rnacentral:rRNA from 1 species
UACGGAGGAUCCGAGCGUUAUCCGGAUUUAUUGGGUUUAAAGGGUGCGUAGGUGGUUUGAUAAGUCAGCGGUGAAAGUUUGCAGCUUAACUGUAAAAAUGCCGUUGAAACUGUCGGACUUGAGUGUAAAUGAGGUAGGCGGAAUGUGUGGUGUAGCGGUGGAAUGCAUAGAUAUCACGCAGAACUCCGAUUGCGAAGGCAGCUUACUAAGCUACAACUGACACUGAAGCACGAAAGCGUGGGGAUCAAACAGGAUUAGAUACCCUGGUAGUCCACGCAGUAAACGAUGAUUACUAGCUGUUUGCGAUACACAGUAAGCGGCACAGCGAAAGCGUUAAGUAAUCCACCUGGGGAGUACGCCGGCAACGGUGAA